UACGAAGAGGGCUAGCGUUGUUCGGAAUUACUGGGCGUAAAGCGUGCGCAGGCGGCUGCUCAAGUCAGGGGUGAAAGCCCAGAGCUCAACUCUGGAAUUGCCUUUGAGACUGAGUGGCUUGAGUACGGGAGAGGUGAGUGGAAUUCCCAGUGUAGAGGUGAAAUUCGUAGAUAUUGGGAAGAACACCGGUGGCGAAGGCGGCUCACUGGCCCGUAACUGACGCUCAUGCACGACAGCGUGGGGAUCAAACAGG
rnacentral:rRNA from 1 species